GACGAACGCUGGCGGCGUGCUUAACACAUGCAAGUCGAACGGAAAGGCCCUGCUUUUGUGGGGUGCUCGAGUGGCGAACGGGUGAGUAACACGUGAGUAACCUGCCCUUGACUUUGGGAUAACUUCAGGAAACUGGGGCUAAUACCUGAUAGGAGCUCCUGCUGCUUGGUGGUGUUUGGAAAGUUUCGGCGGUUGGGGAUGGACUCGCGGCUUAUCAGCUUGUUGGUGGGGUAGUGGCUUACCAAGGCUUUGACGGGUAGCCGGCCUGAGAGGGUGACCGGCCACAUUGGGCCUAAGAUACGGCCCAGACUCCUACGGGAGGCAGCAGUGGGGAAUAUUGCACAAUGGGCGGACGCCUGAUGCAGCAACGCCGCGUGCGGGAUGACGGCCUUCGGGUUGUAAACCGCUUUCGCCUGUGACGAAGCGUGAGUGACGGUAAUGGGUAAAGAAGCACCGGCUAACUACGUG
rnacentral:rRNA from 1 species